rnacentral:rRNA from 1 species
AGCAGCGCCGCGGUAAUACGGAGGGUGCAAGCGUUAAUCGGAAUUACUGGGCGUAAAGCGCACGCAGGCGGUCUGACAAGUCAGAUGUGAAAUCCCCGGGCUUAACCUGGGAACUGCAUUUGAAACUGUCAGGCUGGAGUCUUGUAGAGGGGGGUAGAAUUCCAGGUGUAGCGGUGAAAUGCGUAGAGAUCUGGAGGAAUACCGGUGGCGAAGGCGGCCCCCUGGACAAAGACUGACGCUCAGGUGCGAAAGCGUGGGGAGCAAACAGGAUUAGAUACCCCUGUAGUCCCUGUCUCUUAUACA